rnacentral:tRNA from 1 species
UCCCUGGUGGCUCAGACAGUAAAGCAUCUGUCUGCAAAUGCAGGAGACCCGGGUUCGAUCCCUGGGUUGGGAA